CUGUAGUCUUUUAGGAAGUAAAAGUCCUACAAGCCCAGAUUGCCAACUCUGGGUUGACUGUGGAGGGAGAUGCUCCCAAAUCCCAGGGCCUGAGCAAGAUCAUGGCAGACAUGCGGGCCCAGUAUGAGGAGCUGGCUCGGAAGAACCAAGAAGAGCUAGCCAAGACCUGGUCCCAGCAGAUUGAGGAGAGCACCUCAGUGGUCACCUCACAGUUUGCUGCAGUUGGAGCUGCUAAGACAAUGCUCACAGAGCUGACUCCUACAGUCCAGUCCUUGGAGAUUGAACUGGACUCCAUGAGAAAUCAGAAGUCCAGGUUGGAGGAUAGCCUGAGGGAGGUGGAGGCCCUCUAUGCCAUGCAGAUGGAGCAACUCAAUGGGGUCCUGCUGCAUUUGGAGUCAGAGCUGGCACAGACCCAGGCAGAGGGGCAGUGCCAGGCCCAGGAGUAUGAGGCACUGCUGAACAUCAAGGUCAAACUAGAGGCUGAGAUCACCACCUACCGCGGGCUGCUGGAAGAUGGGGAGGACUUCAACCUUGGUGAUUCCCUGGACAGCAGCAACUCCAUGCAAACCAUCCAAAAGACCACCACCCACAGGAUAGUGGACGGCAAAGUGGUGUCUGAGACCAAUGAUACCAAAGUUCUGAGACACUGAGGCAGUAGAGCAGCUUGUCCUUAUACCAAUAAAGAGUUCA